AUUUAUUAUAUAUAUUUAGACAUAAUGAAAAAAACAAACAAACAAAAAACACAAUGGAAUUAUACAAAAAACAAACAAACAAACAAAAAAAAACUUACAUAUAGUACAAAUAAAUGCAUGACGGACAAGAGCAAUGCUUAAUCAGAUGCAGUCAAAAAAGGUGAAGGCUGAUUAUAAAAAGAUUACAAUUUAAUAAUUGUAAUCUGGCAGUUUAUAAUAAAGUUUAUAUUAAAUAAAACUUAUUUAGUUUAUCUGGCAUUGAUGACAUUUAUUAGUAGGUUACAUUACAUUGUGUAUGAAUUCAGGCUGACUUGUGUCAUUAUAGCAGCUUGUUUCCCCCAUGGAAUGAAAAAUAAAGGUAAUUUGCAGCUUUUUAUCUUACCAUUCAUUCUGACUUUUUUCUCAGAAUUACGCGAUAUAAACAAUGUGAGUUAUAAAUUGUAUAAUUGAGAUAAAAGUUGCAAUUUAUUUAUUUAUCAAUUAUUUAUUUAUUUAGUGGCGGAAAUAAACUUCCAUAGGAAAUAGCCCACAAGGUGGGAGUAUUGUAUUGUAUUAUAUAGAGAUCCAUGAUGAUAUUCUGACGUUUUUAGUGAUGAGCGCCAGAUGAAUUUUAAAUAACAUAUUUUCUUAGCGAUAGAUUAUAUUUACACUAAGUGCAAAUAGCAAUGGAUCCUAUUUACACUUAGUGAAAAUAAUAUUUUUUAACGAUAUUCUAUUUACACUUAGUGCAAAUAGCUAUACAGUAGAUUCUAUUUACACUAUGUUAAAAAUGGCAAGAUUUUCUGGUAUUUAUAGUGGCAAUUAUCUGCACCUCAGUACUGUAGUUCAUUAUAAAACAGUACGCAAUAAUAAUGUAUUGAAUGUGAAUUGUAAUUUUAAUUCAACUUUUUAAAUGGAUGCCACCUUAUUAGGACAAUAAAGCCCUCCCUACACCAACGUUUCAACGUUUUAAUAAUUUCCUUCAUUUUUAUUUAUAUUAAAUGCCUUUCCGAUACGAUAUGAGAUUUGAAAAGGGAGAAAAAAUGUUCGGCAAAAGGCAGAUGCAAACUCGGGUCAUUCGCGUCAAAAAUCACACACUUUAACCGA
ensembl:lncRNA